rnacentral:rRNA from 1 species
UACGAAGGGGGCUAGCGUUGCUCGGAAUCACUGGGCGUAAAGCGCACGUAGGCGGCUUUUUAAGUCAGGGGUGAAAUCCUGGAGCUCAACUCCAGAACUGCCUUUGAUACUGAGAAGCUUGAGUCCGGGAGAGGUGAGUGGAACUGCGAGUGUAGAGGUGAAAUUCGUAGAUAUUCGCAAGAACACCAGUGGCGAAGGCGGCUCACUGGCCCGGUACUGACGCUGAGGUGCGAAAGCGUGGGUAGCAAACAGG